UACAGAGGUGGCAAGCGUUGUUCGGAAUUACUGGGCGUAAAGGGCGCGUAGGCGGCCAUCUAAGUCAGACGUGAAAUCCCCAGGCUUAACCUGGGAACUGCGUCGGAUACUGGAUGGCUUGAAUCCGGGAGAGGGAUGCGGAAUUCCAGGUGUAGCGGUGAAAUGCGUAGAUAUCUGGAGGAACACCGGUGGCGAAGGCGGCAUCCUGGACCGGCAUUGACGCUGAGGAGCGAAAGCCAGGGGAGCAAACGGG
rnacentral:rRNA from 1 species